GGGCCCGCACAAGCAGCGGAGCGUGUGGUUUAAUUCGAUGCAACGCGCAGAACCUUACCUCGGCUUGACAUGCACGUGGUACUGACCCGAAAGGGAAGGGACCCGCGAGGGAGCGUGCACAGAUGCUGCAUGGCUGUCGUCAGCUCGUGCCGUGAGGUGUUGGGUUAAGUCCCGCAACGAGCGCAACCCUUGUCCUUAGUUGCCUUCUCUAAGGAGACCGCCGGUCUAAACCGGAGGAAGGUGGGGAUGACGUCAAGUCAGCACGGCUCUUACGUCGAGGGCUACACACACGCUACAAUGGCCGGUACAACGGGCUGCGAAGGGGCGACCUGGAGCCAAUCCCACCAAAGCCGGUCUCAGUUCGGAUUGCAGGCUGCAACUCGCCUGCAUGAAGUCGGAGUUGCUAGUAACUGCUGGUCAGCACACAGCAGUGAAUACGUUCCCGGGCCUU
rnacentral:rRNA from 1 species